rnacentral:rRNA from 1 species
CAGCAGCCGCGGUAAUACAGAGGGUGCGAGCGUUAAUCGGAUUCACUGGGUUUAAAGGGUGCGUAGGCGGAUCUGUAAGUCAGUGGUGAAAUCUCCAGGCUUAACCUGGAAACUGCCGUUGAUACUAUAGGUCUUGAAUUUUGUGGAGGUUAGCGGAAUAUGUCAUGUAGCGGUGAAAUGCAUAGAUAUGACAUAGAACACCAAUUGCGAAGGCAGCUGGCUACACAACUAUUGACGCUGAGGCACGAAAGCGUGGGGAUCAAACAGGAUUAGAUACCCCAGUAGUCCCUGUCUCUUAUAC